CGGUUGAUCCUGCCGGACCUGACUGCUAUCGGAUUGAUACUAAGCCAUGCGAGUCAUUGUAGCAAUACAAGGCAGACGGCUCAGUAACGCGUAGUCAACCUAACCUAUGGACGGGAAUAACCUCGGGAAACUGAGUAUAAUGCCCGAUAGAACAUUAUGCCUGGAAUGGUUUAUGUUCCAAAUGAUUUAUCGCCGUAGGAUGGGACUGCGGCCUAUCAGUUUGUUGGUGAGGUAAUGGCCCACCAAGACUAUUACAGGUACGGGCUCUGAGAGGAGUAGCCCGGAGAUGGGUACUGAGACACGGACCCAGGCCCUAUGGGGCGCAGCAGGCGAGAAAACUUUGCAAUGUGCGAAAGCACGACAAGGUUAAUCCGAGUGGUUUCUGCUAAAGGAACCUUUUGUUAGUCCUAGAAACACUAACGAAUAAGGGGUGGGCAAGUUCUGGUGUCAGCCGCCGCGGUAAAACCAGCACCUCAAGUGGUCAGGAUGAUUAUUGGGCCUAAAGCAUCCGUAGCCUGCUUUGUAAGUUUUCGGUUAAAUCCAUACGCUCAACGUAUGGGCUGCCGGGAAUACUGCAAAGCUAGGGAGUGGGAGAGGUAGACGGUACUCGGUAGGAAGGGGUAAAAUCCUUUGAUCUAUUGAUGACCACCUGUGGCGAAGGCGGUCUACCAGAACACGUCCGACGGUGAGGGAUGAAAGCUGGGGGAGCAAACCGGAUUAGAUACCCGGGUAGUCCCAGCUGUAAACUAUGCAAACUCGGUGAUGCAUUGGCUUGAUGCCAAUGCAGUGCCGCAGGGAAGCCGUUAAGUUUGCCGCCUGGGAAGUACGUACGCAAGUAUGAAACUUAAAGGAAUUGGCGGGGGAGCACCACAAGGGGUGAAGCCUGCGGUUCAAUUGGAGUCAACGCCAGAAAUCUUACCCGGAGAGACAGCAGAAUGAAGGUCAAGCUGAAGACUUUGCCGGAUUGUUCGAGAGGUAGUGCAUGGCCGUCGUCAGUUCGUACCGCAAGGCGUUCUGUUAAGUCAGAUAACGAACGAGACCCUCAUCCCUAUUUGCUAACCAGAUCUCCGGAUCAGGCGCACUAUAGGGAGACCGCUGGCGCUAAGUCAGAGGAAGGCGAGGGCAACGGUAGGUCAGUAUGCUCCGAAUGCUAUGGGCUACACGCGCAAUACAAAGGACGGGACAAUGGGCUGCUGCUCCGAAAGGAACGAUGGCUAUCCCGAAACCCGUUCGUAGUACGGAUUGAGGGCUGUAACUCGCCCUCAUGAAGCUGGAUUAGGUAGUAAUCGCGUCUCAAAAAGGCGCGGUGAAUAUGCCCCUGCUCCUUGCACUCACCGCCCGUCA
rnacentral:rRNA from 1 species